rfam:Pan troglodytes isolate Yerkes chimp pedigree #C0471 (Clint) chromosome 20, whole genome shotgun sequence.
AUUUAAAUAUAAGUAUGUCCCAUGCAAUAUUUGGGACAUGCUUAUGCUAGAA